GCGACGAUACGUAGCCGACCUGAGAGGGUGAUCGGCCACACUGGAACUGAGACACGGUCCAGACUCCUACGGGAGGCAGCAGUAGGGAAUCUUCCGCAAUGGGCGAAAGCCUGACGGAGCAACGCCGCGUGAGUGAUGAAGGUCUUCGGAUCGUAAAGCUCUGUUGUUAGGGAAGAACAAAUGUGUAAGUAACUGUGCACAUCUUGACGGUACCUAACCAGAAAGCCACGGCUAACUACGUGCCAGCAGCCGCGGUAAUACGUAGGUGGCAAGCGUUAUCCGGAAUUAUUGGGCGUAAAGCGCGCGUAGGCGGUUUUUUAAGUCUGAUGUGAAAGCCCACGGCUCAACCGUGGAGGGUCAUUGGAAACUGGAAAACUUGAGUGCAGAAGAGGAAAGUGGAAUUCCAUGUGUAGCGGUGAAAUGCGCAGAGAUAUGGAGGAACACCAGUGGCGAAGGCGGCUUUCUGGUCUGCAACUGACGCUGAUGUGCGAAAGCGUGGGGAUCAAACAGGAUUAGAUACCCUGGUAGUCCACGCCGUAAACGAUGAGUGCUAAGUGUUAGGGGGUUUCCGCCCCUUAGUGCUGCAGCUAACGCAUUAAGCACUCCGCCUGGGGAGUACGGUCGCAAGACUGAAACUCAAAGGAAUUGACGGGGACCCGCACAAGCGGUGGAGCAUGUGGUUUAAUUCGAAGCAACGCGAAGAACCUUACCAAAUCUUGACAUCCUUUGACCGCUCUAGAGAUAGAGUUUUCCUCUUCGGAGGACAAAGUGACAGGUGGUGCAUGGUUGUCGUCAGCUCGUGUCGUGAGAUGUUGGGUUAAGUCCCGCAACGAGCGCAACCCUUGAACUUAGUUGCCAUCAUUCAGUUGGGCACUCUAAGUUGACUGCCGGUGACAAACCGGAGGAAGGUGGGGAUGACGUCAAAUCAUCAUGCCCCUUAUGAUUUGGGCUACACACGUGCUACAAUGGACAAUACAAAGGGCAGCGAAACCGCGAGGUCAAGCAAAUCCCAUAAAGUUGUUCUCAGUUCGGAUUGUAGUCUGCAACUCGACUACAUGAAGCUGGAAUCGCUAGUAAUCGUAGAUCAGCAUGCUACGGUGAAUACGUUCCCGGGUCUUGUACACACCGCCCGUCACACCACGAGAGUUUGUAACACCCGAAGCCGGUGGAGUAACCAUUUUGGAGCUAGCCGUCGAAGGUGGGACAAAUGAUUGGGGUGAAGUCGUAACAAGGUAGCCGUAUCGGAAGGUGCGGCUGGAUCACCUCCUUUCUA
rnacentral:rRNA from 1 species